CGCCGCCGCCGCGCCGCCGCCGCCCGCCCCUUCCCUCCCGCCGCGUUGCCAUGGCGGCGGCCCGCAGCCCCCGGGGCAGUUGCGCGCGGCCCUGCCGGCCUGUCCCCCGCAGCCCCUCGCCGCCGCCGCGCCUCGGAUAGGAGCCCGAUAACGCCCCUCUUCUCCUCCCGUCCGGACGGCCCUUCCCCUCCGCGCGGUACCGAGCGGCCCCGCGGGCGCCGCCUCGUCCCGGAAUGGCGGCGGGGAGCUCGGGGCUGCGCUCGGCGGUCUCUGCCCUCCCGGAGGGGCGGGUCGGUCUCCUCUGCCCCCCGAGCGCCCGGGCGCGCUGCGCGAGGAGCCAGGUGGGACCGAACUACCUCCGCCUUGAGGAGAGCAGGCCCGGCCCGACCGGGGAGCUGCUGCUGCUGCUCUGCGCGGCCGUCCGCACGCUUUUGUCCUCCUCCCCCAUUUAUUGCUAGCCAGGCCGCAUUUUGCGUAGCUACGUUAAAACCACACAACUGCUAGCUUUACAGAGCUGCCCCUCGCUGGUACUGCGUUACUUCAUAGUCAGCCGUUCUCAGACAGUUCUUCCUCCCCCACGUUUACGUUAGCCCACAGGAGCCUGGAAAUAGGAUGCGCUUCCCCAGCCGUUUCGUCCCGUUCUGCCCGGCAAGCAGUUUGCGUCCUUCCAGGGGCUCCGAAGAGAGAAAAGAGUAAAUGGGAUCUCCCGGUUUGCCUCUGAUGGCCUGAUAUUGAGAAUGAUGAGAAGACAUGGCAUUAUCUAGUAGGAUGAGGAAGCUAUCCAAACAGACAUGGAGUAAUCCAGCACAAUGCAGCUGUAAUGGAAGGACUUCCUGUCAUUUUGGAGCAGUAGCAGCCUUACCUGGGUAUGAACUGCACUCUGAUACGUGUGUGUUUAAUGUUCAUUUCAAGUAUUUUUUAGUGCAUGAUGUUUUGAUGCUGAUAAAAGUGAAGGAUUUACAUUGUUGGUUAAAGCCAGGUACAAAAAGCACUUGCUUUAAAAGCCUACUCUUGGUCCAGAAUGUUAGUUAAUCUGUAUAGCUCAAAUCACUCAGCUUGUUCAACCCAGCACAGAGGGCUCAGACAUGGAAACUAGCCCCUCUUUACUGCUCUGCGGUUAGACUUGCUGUAUAAUUCUGGGCAGAUCACGUAACCUGCCAACCUGCCUGUGCCUCAGUUUUAGUAAGGUUGGUAUGAUACCAUGCCAUACCAUAGAAAUGCCCGUUAAUAAAGAACUUGACUGAUCAGUGAAUGAGAAAUGCUACAGCUUGGAUUCUAAUCAUCUGUUGCUUUGUCAGACAGAAGGCUUCAGUGAUGCCUCCUCGUGUAGAAUGAUGGCAAAAUGCAGUCUGUUCUGAGGCAAACUAGGUUUUUAACUUGGGAAGCCUGAAGAAAAGGAAAAAAACCCCAAAAUGCAUUAGCUAACUUUUCUGCGAUUAAAUAUUCAGUCAGUCCCUAUAAAUAUGCUUUAAUUAUAAAUAUGACUUUAAUUUGAUUAUGAUAACACAGAUCCCCCAUAACUUUAUUACAUGAUAUCUUUUCUAAGGGGAUAUUGACUAUUAAUUAAAGAAAAAUCUGUGUUUUAAAGGAUUAGUUUAAGAAGUGCUGUCAGAAAUUACAGUGUAAUUAAAGCCACUCAAGAAUCAGUGAUAUUGAAGUCUGCUGAUCACUGCAAAAUAAAUUGUUAGUUUGCUGCGUCUAGCAUAGCAUGUAAGAUUGCACAUCAAAGGGAUGCAAGUGCUGUAACGGAAAUAGGCCUGUUAAGGGGGAACUUGUGUACUGCACAGUAUAGUCAUCAAGUCCAUCAUUGUACUUGCUACCAACUAUUGCUGUUCAGUUGUUGGAUAGCCUUAAAAGAUUUUAAGUGUUUUGUCAAAGGUUACAUACAAUGCCGGAGAGGAAAUACAAUGUGGUUUGAACUUAACUGUAUUUUAAAGCUUAUUUUACUGGUUUAAUUGAACUAAGAUACUGCUUCAUGUUCAAAAGUUAAAAAAAAAAAAAAAGUAGUAGUCUGUAUUAAGGAAGGUUGCAGAGCCUGGCAAAAAUGUUGUUAAUAGCAAGGAGAGAAGUUGUAGUGUGGUCAGUGUUUGUCAGUGCCGUUUGCUAAAGCAGGGUAAUGGAGAAUGUCCUCUCCAUGCCAGUGCAUCCGUUCUUGUAUCAGUGGAGAACGAGAUCUGUUCUCCACGUUGGGGGCAUCAAAGAACAGCACAAAACCAGGGAGAUUCUGUGAUGUGUCAGUAUUUGUGAAGUGCUUGAACCAUGCUGAAAGUACAAUAUAUUUAUUCAUGAAUCAUAGUAGCAGGUUUAGUUAAAUUACACCCAGGAUACAGGGAUUGGUAUAUCUUUUGUAGGUCAGUCAUAUAAUGCAAAGAUAUAUUGGAGGGGAAGGCUUAAAAAUCAGUGAAUUUAUGGGUAAAAACGUAGGAUACCGUGUACAUUUGAAUUGCCUUCUUUGUAUAUAUCCUGCCUAUUCCAUUCUGUGUAUAUUCUAGUUAGUGCAGCCUGCUUAAAAGGUUGUAAAGAAAUAUGCAAGCAUAUAAGAAAAUAAUAAAUAAAAAUGUUUUCUGUA